GCCUAACACAUGCAAGUCGAGCGGAUGACGGGAGCUUGCUCCUUGAUUCAGCGGCGGACGGGUGAGUAAUGCCUAGGAAUCUGCCUGGUAGUGGGGGACAACGUUUCGAAAGGAACGCUAAUACCGCAUACGUCCUACGGGAGAAAGCAGGGGACCUUCGGGCCUUGCGCUAUCAGAUGAGCCUAGGUCGGAUUAGCUAGUUGGUGGGGUAAUGGCUCACCAAGGCGACGAUCCGUAACUGGUCUGAGAGGAUGAUCAGUCACACUGGAACUGAGACACGGUCCAGACUCCUACGGGAGGCAGCAGUGGGGAAUAUUGGACAAUGGGCGAAAGCCUGAUCCAGCCAUGCCGCGUGUGUGAAGAAGGUCUUCGGAUUGUAAAGCACUUUAAGUUGGGAGGAAGGGCAGUAAGUUAAUACCUUGCUGUUUUGACGUUACCGACAGAAUAAGCACCGGCUAACUCUGUGCCAGCAGCCGCGGUAAUAC
rnacentral:rRNA from 1 species